AUGUGGCGAGAAUGAUGAGUCAAAUGAAGUGGAAGGGAUAAAAUCCCUUGUGAUCUUAACUCCUUAACGCUUAUUGAUAUUCUGACUUGCCACUU
rfam:Eucalyptus grandis cultivar BRASTZ1 unplaced genomic scaffold scaffold_1, whole genome shotgun sequence.